rfam:Gossypium arboreum cultivar AKA8401 contig_163378_1, whole genome shotgun sequence.
AACCCAUGGUGAGGGCACCUUCUUAAUAAGUCCUUGUAUCUCUCCCAUGCACGUAGAGGGUUUUUAAAUCCAUCUGCACAAAAGAAGAGAUAUCAUUACGUAAUUU